GGCAAGGUAGCUCAGUUGGUUAGAGCACGGCACUCAUAAUGCCGGGGUCGGCGGUUCGAAUCCGCCCCUUGCUACCA
rnacentral:tRNA from 4 species